GUGACAAGAAGACCCUAAGAGUUUAUUUUAGCUGGGGCGGCAAUGGUAAUAUAAACUACCAAUUUUAAUUUUAUACCGGUUUUUACAAUUAAUAUAAAACUACCCUAGGGAUAACAGCACAAUGAAUAUAUUUGUUUGUGACCUCGAUGUUGGAUU
rnacentral:rRNA from 1 species